AGCAGCCGCGGUAAUUCCAGCUCCAAUAGCGUAUAUUAAAGUUGUUGCAGUUAAAAAGCUCGUAGUUGAAUUUCGGGAUUGACACAUCGGUCGUGCCUUAAGGGGUAUGAACUGGUGUAGUCAAUUUCUCACCUUCUGGAGAACCGCGAUGCCCUUAAUUGGGUGUCGCGGGGAACCAGGACCUUUACUUUGAAAAAUUAGAGUGUUUAAAGCAGGCAUUUUGCUUGAAUACAUUAGCAUGGAAUAAUAAAAUAGGACGGCAUGAUUCUAUUUUGUUGGUUUCUAGGAUCACCGUAAUGAUUAAUAGGGAUAGUUGGGGGCAUUAGUAUUCAAUUGUCAGAGGUGAAAUUCUUGGAUUUAUUGAAGACUAACUACUGCGAAAGCAUUUGCCAAGGAUGUUUUCAUUAAUCAAGACGAAAGUUAGGGGAUCGAAGACGAUCAGAUACCGUCGUAGUCUUAACCAUAAACUAUAGCCGACUAGGAAUCAGACGAUGUUAAUUUU
rnacentral:rRNA from 1 species